GCCCAGGUGGCGGAAUUGGUAGACGCGCAGGCUUCAGGUGUCUGUGAGGGAAACCUUGUGGAAGUUCGAGUCUUCUCCUGGGCA
rnacentral:tRNA from 1 species